GAUGAACGCUGGCGGCGUGCCUAAUACAUGCAAGUCGAGCGAACAGACGAGAGUGCUUGCACUCUCUGACGUUAGCGGCGGACGGGUGAGUAACACGUGGGUAACCUACCUAUAAGACUGGGAUAACUUCGGGAAACCGGAGCUAAUACCGGAUAAUAUUUAGCUUCGCAUGAAGCAAUAGUGAAAGACGGUUCUGCUGUCACUUAUAGAUGGACCCGCGGUGUAUUAGCUAGUUGGUGAGGUAACGGCUCACCAAGGCAACGAUACAUAGCCGACCUGAGAGGGUGAUCGGCCACACCGGGACUGAGACACGGCCCAGACUCCUACGGGAGGCAGCAGUAGGGAAUCUUCCGCAAAGGACGAAAGUCUGACGGAGCAAUGCCGCGUGAGUGAAGAAGGUGUUCGGAUCGUAAAACUCUGUUGUAAGGGAAGAACAAGUACGUUAGUAACUGAACGUACCUUGACGGUACCUUACCAGAAAGCCACGGCUAACUACGUG
rnacentral:rRNA from 1 species